GGCAGUUUGGGGGACUGGAGGACUGGAGUUGGGCUGUUGGGGGACUGGAGGACUGGAGUUUGGCUGUUGGGGAUACUGGAGGACUGGAGUUGGGCUGUUGGGGGACUGGAGGACUGGAGUUUGGCUGUUGGGGGUAGUGGAGGACUGGAGUUGGGCUGUUGGGGGACUGGAGGACUGGAGUUGGGCUGUUGGGGGACUGGAGGACUGGAGUUGGGCUGUUGGGGGGUACUGGAGUUGGGCUGUUGGGGGGACUGGAGGACUGGAGUUGGGCUGUUGGGGGACUGGAGCUGGGCGGUUUGGGGGACUGGAGCUGGGCGGAUUGGGGGACUGGAGGACUGGAGAUGGGCGGUUUGUGGGACUGGAGGACUGAAGUUGGGCGGUUUGGGGGACUGGAGGACUGGAGAUGGGCGGUUUGGGGGACUGGGGGACUGGGGUUGGGCGGUUUGGGGGAAUGGGGGACUGGAGUUGGGCGGUUUGGGGGACAUGGGGGACUGGAGUUGGGCGGUUCGGGGGACUAGAGUUGGGCGGUUUGGAGGACUGGAGUUGGGCUGUUUGGAGGACGGGGGACUGGAGUUGGGAAACACUGCCCUACAUAGUGCACUACUUGGGGUCUAGUCAAAAGAAGCACAAUAUUGAGAAUGGAGUGCAUGCUGGGACAAAGAGACUCUCUACAGGGGACAGGCCUUAGUUUAAUAAUAACCCUUUAUGGAUUAGAUCAUGACAAAAGAGGAAUCUAUUCAGUUUAUUUUAUUUACAGUUCGGGAGGGAUCAAUAAAGGAGAUGGCAAGACGAGUAGAGGAGAGGAAGGGAGUGUAGAGUAGAGAGAAUCAGUCAUGUGUAGAGUAGAGUAGAGGGAAUCAGUCAUGUAUAGAGUAGAGUAGAGGGAAUCAGUCAUGAGUAGAGUAGAGUAGAGGGAAUCAGUCAUGUAUAGAGUAGAGUAGAGGGAAUCAGUCAUGAGUAGAGUAGAGUAGAGGGAAUCAGUCAUGAGUACAGUAGAGUAGAGGGAAUCAGUCAUGAGUAGAGUAGAGUAGAGGGAAUCAGUCAUGUAUAGAGUAGAGUAGAGGGAAUCAGUCAUGUGUAGAGUAGAGUAGAGGGAAUCAGUCAUGUAUAGAGUAGAGUAGAGUAGAGGGAAUCAGUCAUGUAUAGAGUAGAGUAGAGGGAAUCAGUCAUGGAUAGAGUAGAGUAGAGGGAAUCAGUCAUGGAUAGAGUAGAGUAGAGGGAAUCAGUCAUGAGUAGAGUAGAGUAGAGGGAAUCAGUCAUGUGUAGAGUAGAGUAGAGGGAAUCAGUCAUGUAUAGAGUAGAGUAGAGGGAAUCAGUCAUGUAUAGAGUAGAGUAGAGGGAAUCAGUCAUGUAUAGAGUAGAGUAGAGGGAAUCAGUCAUGUAUAGAGUAGAGUAGAGGGAAUCAGUCAUGGAUAGAGUAGAGUAGAGGGAAUCAGUUCUCUGUUGAGAGACUGAACCAACUCUGUUGAGAGACUGAACCAACUCUGUUGAGAGACUGAACCAACUCUGUUGAGAGACUGAACCAACUCUGUUGAGAGACUGAACCAACUCUGUUGGGAGACUGAACCAAUUCUGUUGAGAGACUGAACCAACUCUGUUGAGAGACUGAACCAACUCUGUUGAGAGACUGAACCAAAUCUGUUGAGAGACUGAACCAACUCUGUUGAGAGACUGAACCAACUCUGUUGAUAGACUGAACCAACUCUGUUGAGAGACUGAACCAAUUAUCUGUUGAGCUUUACAAUCAGGGGUGGGAUCAAUUCCAUUUCACUCCAAUCAAUUCAGGAGAUUAAUUUUGAAUUCAAUUCAUUUCUAAUUCUUCAAAUGAAUUGAACAAUCCAGAGUGCGAAUUAUAAUGUGACAUUCGGGGGGGGAUAAAAAAAAAAGUAAUUUAACAGUAAAGAUUUUUUUUUAUUAACUUUUCAUUUUUAAUUUCUCUAAAAUAACUCCAGCAUCCAGACAGCGCACCAGCCAUUAGAGGAACGGAAAGAGACAUCUGGAACAAAACACCAAGAAGUGGAAUGACGUUCGGUGAUUGUCAUUGAAUCUACACUCUCUUGUAGCCUAAAUUAACGUGUGCGUCUUGCUGCCAAAAUUACCUUUUUUUGUAGAAAGAAAAGUUGGGACACUUGAAAACGGGCUGAGGUACGGGACUGUCCCAGGAUGACAAGUGGCUGAGGUACGGGACUGUCCCAGGAUGACAAGUGGCUGAGUUACGGGACUGUCCCAGGAUGACAAGUGCAGCCACGUGGGAAAAACAUGGUUUAAACCAUCUCUUAAAACGUAUGACUCCCCCCGGGGGAAUAUCAUCACGGGACAAAAUCUGAACCAAUCAUACAAGUCUAUGUUUCACAAGUUUGGACAUCAAAGAACAGAACAGAACAGUAGAAUACAGUAGAAUACAGUAGAAUAAAGUACUGUAGAAUACAGUAGAAUACAGUACAGAACAGUAGAAUAGAGUACAGUACAGUAGAAUACAGUACAGUACAGUAGAAUACAGCACAGUACAAUACAGUAGAAUACAGUACAGAACAGUAGAAUACAGUACAGUACAGAACAGUAGAAUACUGUAGAAUAGAGUAGAAUACAGUAGAAUACAGUACAGUACAGUAGAAUACAGUACAGUACAGUGGAAUACAGUAGAAUACAGUACAGUACAGUACAGCAGAGUAUGGUAGAAUACAGUAGAAUACAGUACAGUACAGAACAGUAGAAUACAUUACAGUACAGAACAGAACAGUAGAAUACAGUACAGUACAGUGGAAUACAGUAGAAUACAGUACAGUACAGUACAGCAGAGUAUGGUAGAAUACAGUAGAAUACAGUACAGUACAGAACAGUAGAAUACAUUACAGUACAGAACAGAACAGUAGAAUACAGUACAGUACAGCAGAGUACAGUAGAAUACAGUAGAAUACAGUACAAUAUAGUUGAGUACAGAACAGUAGAAUACAGUGGAAUACAGUACAGUACAGUAGAAUACAGUACAGAACAGUAGAGUACAGAACAGUACAGAACAGUAGAAUACAGUACAGUAGAAUACAGUAGAAUACAGUACAGUAGAAUACAGUACAGAACAGUAGAAUACAGUACAGUACAGUAGAAUACAAUACAGAACAGUAGAGUACAGAGCAGUACAGAACAGUAGAAUACAGUACAGUACAGUAGAAUACAGUACAGUACAGUAGAAUACAAUACAGAACAGUAGAGUACAGAACAGUACAGAACAGUAGAAUACAGUACAGUAGAAUACAGUAGAAUACAGUACAGAACAGUAGAAUACAGUACAGUACAGUAGAGUACAGAACAUAACAGUAGAAUACAGUACAGUAGAAUACAGUAGAAUACAGUACAGAACAGUAGAAUACAGUACAGUACAGUAGAGUACAGAACAGAUCAGUAGAAUACAGUGGAAUACAGAACAGUACAGUAGAAUACAGUACAGUACAGAACAGAAUAAUACAGUACAGUACAGAACAGAAUAAUACAGUACAGUACAGUAGAAUACAGUACAGUACAGAACAGUAGAAUUCAGGGCAGUAAAUAACAGUAGAGUACAGUAUAGUACAGUAGAAUGUAGUACAGUACAAUACAGUAGAAUGUAGUACAGUAAAUAACAGUAGAAUACAGUACAGUACAGUACAGUACAGUACAGUACAGUACAGUAGAAUACAGUACAGUACAGUAGAGUACAGAACAGAACAGUAGAAUACAAUGGAAUUCAGAACAGUACAGUAGAAUACAGUACAGAACAGAACAGUGGAAUACAGUACAGUACAGCAGAGUACAGUAGAAUACAGUAGAAUACAGUACAGUACAGUACAGAACAGAACAGCAGAGUACAGUACAGUACAGAACAGUAGAAUACAGUACAGUACAGAACAGAAUAAUACAGUACUGUCCAGUAGAAUACAGUAGAAUACAGUACAGUACAGAACAGUAUAAUACAGUACAGUACAGUACAGUACAGUAGAAUGUAGUACAGUAAAUAACAGUAGAAUACAGUACAGUACAGUACAGUAGAAUACAGUACAGUACAGUAGAGUACAGAACAGUACACUAGAAUACAGGUCAGUACAGUAGAAUACAGGUCAGUACAGUAGAAUACAGUACAGUAAAUAACAGUAGAAUACAGUACAGUACAGUAGAAUACAGUACAGUACAGUAGAAUACAGUACAUUACAGUACAGUAGAAUACAGUACAUUACAGAACAGUAGAAUACAGCACAGUACAGUCCCAUGUGGCUCAGUUGGUAGAGCAUGGUGUUUGCAACGCCAGGGUUGUGGGUUCGAUUCCCACGGGGGACCAGUACGAUUUUUUUUUUUAAAUGUAUGAAAUGUAUGCAUUCACUACUGUAAGUCGCUCUGGAUAAGAGCGUCUGCUAAAUGACUAAAAUGUACAGUACAGUUGCACUUAACUCAUGUGCUCUACUGUGUACUGUACUGUAUUAAACUCUACUGUGUACUGUACUGUAUUAAACUAUUGUGUGUAAUGUAUUGUAUUAAACCCUACUGUACUCUACUGUGCUGUACUGUAAUGAACUCUACUGUACUCUACUCUACUGAACUCUACUCUACUGAACUCUAAUGUACUCUACUCUACUGAACUCUACUGUACUCUAAUGUACUCUACUGAACUCUACUGAACUCUAAUGUACUGAACUCUACUGUACUGAACUCUACUGUACUCAACUCCACUGAACUCUACUGUACACUACUCUACUGUACUGAACUCUACUGUACUGCACUGUACUGUACUCUACUGUACUGAACUCUACUGUACUCAACUCAACUCUACUGUACUCAACUCCACUGAACUCUACUGUACUGUACUCUACUGUACUGAACUCUACUGUACUCUACUCUACUGAACUCUACUGUACUGAACUCUACUGUACUGUACUGAACUCUACUGAACUGAACUCUAAUGUACUCUACUCUACUGAACUCUACUCUACUGAACUCUAAUAUACUCUACUCUACUGAACUCUACUCUACUGAACUCUAAUGUACUCUACUGUACUUUACUCUACUGAACUCUACUGUACUGAACUCAACUGUACUCUACUGUACUCUACUCUACUGAACUCUACUGUACUGAACUCUACUGUACUUUACUAAACUCUACUGUACUCUACUCUACUGAACUCUACUCUACUGAACUCUAUUGAACUCUACUCUACUGAACUCUAUUGAACUCUACUCUACUGAACUCUACUGAUCUCUACUGAACUCUACUCUACUGAACUCUACUGAACUCGACUGAUCUCUACUGAACUCUACUCUACUGAACUCUACUGAACUCUAUUGAACUCUACUCUACUGAACUCUACUGUACUGAACUCUACUGUACUCUACUGUACUUUACUAAACUCUACUCUACUCUACUCUACUGAACUCUACUGAACUCUACUGUACUGAACUCUACUGUACUCUACUGUACUUUACUAAACUCUACUGAACUCUACUCUACUGAACUCUACUGAACUCUACUCUACUGAACUCUACUGUGUACUGUACUUUAUUAAACUCUACUGUACUCUACUGUAUUAAACUCUACUGUACUGUACUGUACUGAACUCUACUCCACUGUAAUGUACUAUACUCUACUCUACUGUACUGAACUCUAAUGAGUACUCUACUGUAUUAAACUCUACUGUACUCUACUGUAUUAAACUGUACUGUACUGUACUGUACUGUACUCUACUGUAAUGUACUAUACUAUACUCUACUGUACUCUACUGAACACUACUGUGUACUCUACUGUAUUAAACUCUACUGUACUGUACUGUACUGAACUCUACUGUACUCUACUGUAUUAAACUCUACUGUACUGUACUGUAUUAAACUCUACUGUACUGAACUCUACUCUACUGUAAUGUAUUAAACUCUACUGUACUGUACUGAACUCUACUGUAAUGUACUAUACUAUACUCUACUGAACUCUACUGUGUACUCUACUGUAUUAAACUCUACUGUACUCUACUGUAUUAAACUCUACUGUACUCUACUGUAUUAAACUCUACUGUACUCUACUGUAUUAAACUCUACUGUACUGUACUCUACUCUACUGUAACGUACUAUACUAUACUCUACUGUACUCUACUGUAUUAAACUCCACUGUAUUGUACUGAACUCUACUCUACUGUAAUGUACUAUACUAUACUCUACUGUACUCUACUGUAUUACACUCUACUGUACUGUACUGAACUCUACUCUACUGUAAUGUACUGUAUUAAACUCUACUGUACUCUACUGUAUUAAACUCUACUGCACUGUACUCUACUCUACUGUAAUGUACUAUACUAUACUCUACUGUAAUGUACUAUACUAUACUCUACUCUACUGUAAUGUACUAUACUGUAAUGUACUAUACUCUUCUGUAAUGUACUAUACUAUACUAUACUAUACUGUAAUGUACUAUACUAUACUCUACUCUACUCUACAGUAUUAAACUCUACUGUACUGUACUGAACUCUACUCUACUGUAAUGUACUA
rnacentral:lncRNA from 1 species